UACGUAGGGUGCGAGCGUUGUCCGGAAUUAUUGGGCGUAAAGAGCUCGUAGGCGGUCUGUUGCGUCGGCUGUGAAAACCCGGGGCUCAACCCCGGGCCUGCAGCCGAUACGGGCAGACUGGAGUACUGCAGGGGAGACUGGAAUUCCUGGUGUAGCGGUGGAAUGCGUAGAGAUCCGGAAGAACACCGGUGGCGAAGGCGGCCUGCUGGGCAGUAGCUGACACUGAGGCGCGACAGCGUGGGGAGCGAACAGG
rnacentral:rRNA from 1 species